GGGCGAAUGGUUUAGUGGUAUAAUACUCCCUUAGCAUAUAUCAGUCAACUGACAUGACAUCUGGGAGUGGUCCGGGGUUCGAUUCCCCGUUUGUCCA